AUUGAACGCUGGCGGCAGGCCUAACACAUGCAAGUCGAGCGGAGCGGGGACGGGUGAGUAACACGUGGGUAACCUCCCAUCAGAGGGGAUAACACUUGGAAACAGGUGCUAAACCGAUACGGAUGGAUGAACCCGCGGUGCAGUAGCUAGUUGGUGAGGUAACGGCUCACCAAGGCCACGAUGCAUAGCCGGCCUGGGAGGGUGAUCGGCCACACUGGGACUGAGACACGGCCCAGACUCCUACGGGAGGCAGCAGUAGGGAAUCUUCGGCAAUGGACGAAAGUCUGAUGCAGCCAUGCCGCGUGUAUGAAGAAGGCCUUAGGGUUGUAAAGUACUUUCAGCGGGGAGGCGUUACCCGCAGAAGAAGCACCGGCUAACUCCGUGCCAGCCGCCGCGGUAAUAC
rnacentral:rRNA from 1 species